UCCAUGAAGCUGGAUUCGCUGUAAUCGCGCAUCAGCCACGGCGCGGUGAAUACGUUCCCGGGCCUUGUACACACCGCCCGUCAAGCCAUGGAAGCCGGGAGUGCCUGAAGUGCGUGAGCGCAAGCAGCGCCCUAAGGUAAAACCGGUGACUGGGGCUAAGUCGUAACAAGGUAGC
rnacentral:rRNA from 1 species